rnacentral:rRNA from 1 species
UACGUAGGGGGCAAGCGUUGUCCGGAAUCAUUGGGCGUAAAGCGCGUGUAGGCGGCCCGGUAAGUCCGCUGUGAAAGUCCAGGGCUCAACCCUGGGAUGCCGGUGGAUACUGUCGGGCUCGAGUCCGGAAGAGGAGUGUGGAAUUCCUGGUGUAGCGGUGAAAUGCGCAGAUAUCAGGAGGAACGCCAAUGGCGAAGGCAGCACUCUGGGACGUGACUGACGCUGAGACGCGAAAGCGUGGGGAGCAAACAG